UCCCUGGUGGUUCAGUGGUUAAGAUUCUGCACUUUUACUGCAGGGGCCCCAGGUUCCAUCCCUGGUCGGGGAA